CAAAGGUGAGCCAGUACAGGAUGGACCCGCGUCUGAUUAGCUAGUUGGUAAGGUAACGGCUUACCAAGGCGACGAUCAGUAGCCGACCUGAGAGGGUGAUCGGCCACAUUGGAACUGAGACACGGUCCAAACUCCUACGGGAGGCAGUAGUGGGGAAUAUUGCACAAUGGGCGAAAGCCUGAUGCAGCAACGCCGCGUGAGUGAUGAAGGCCUUCGGGUCGUAAAACUCUGUCCUCAAGGAAGAUAAUGACGGUACUUGAGGAGGAAGCCCCGGCUAACUACGUGCCAGCAGCCGCGGUAAUACGUAGGGGGCUAGCGUUAUCCGGAUUUACUGGGCGUAAAGGGUGCGUAGGCGGUCUUUCAAGUCAGGAGUGAAAGGCUACGGCUCAACCGUAGUAAGCUCUUGAAACUGGGAGACUUGAGUGCAGGAGAGGAGAGUGGAAUUCCUAGUGUAGCGGUGAAAUGCGUAGAUAUUAGGAGGAACACCAGUUGCGAAGGCGGCUCUCUGGACUGUAACUGACGCUGAGGCACGAAAGCGUGGGGAGCAAACAGGAUUAGAUACCCUGGUAGUCCACGCUGUAAACGAUGAGUACUAGGUGUCGGGGGUUACCCCCUUCG
rnacentral:rRNA from 1 species